rnacentral:rRNA from 1 species
AUUGAACGCUGGCGGCAGGCCUAACACAUGCAAGUCGAGCGAGCGGCGGACGGGUGAGUAAUGUAUGGGGACUGCCCGAUAGAGGGGGAUAAAUACUGGAAACGGUGGCUAAUACCGCAUACUAUCGGAUAACCCAUAUGGGAUUAGAUAGUAGGUGGGGUAAAGGCUCACCUAGGCGACGAUCUCUAGCUGGUCUGAGAGGAUGAUCGGCCAAACUGGGACUGAUACACGGCCCAGCCUCCGACGGAGGCAGCAGUGGGGAAUAUUGCAAAAUGGGCGAAAGCCUGAUGCAGCAAUGCCGCGUGUAUGAAGAAGGUCUUAGGGUUGUAAACUACUUUCAGCGGGGAGGCGUUACCCGCAGAAGAAGCACCGGCUAACUCCGUGCCAGCCGCCGCGGUAAUUC